rnacentral:lncRNA from 14 species
UGUGAGACUGUGAAAAAGAGUGAAAAAAUUAGAAAUGGUGAAGGACCCUCAAGUGGGAAGAAAAGGGAAAAGGAGACUAAGGUUAGUUUUGCUUUUCAUAUUUAUUCAGAAGAGGAGGUGCAGUCAGUGAAAAAAUCCAAGAAGUCACCCGAGAAAAAAGCAGCUGCUUCAAAAUCUGGUAAAGUUCUAAAGCGGGAUCCUGUUGUUUAUAUUUCAGAGACAGAUGAAGAUGAUGAUUUUGCCAAUAAAAGAAUUUCCCUGAAACCGAAGGAGAACGGGACGUCAGGGGUUGGUUGUCCAGGAACAAAUACUGUGAAAAAAGAGGAGGUAAAACCACAAGCUAAAAGCAAACCCCUCUCUCCAGUGAAACAGACUCCCACCUCUGCACUUGAUUUCUUUGGGACGAGGAGUGUCCAACGCUCAGAAAAGAAGCUGGUAGCAAGUAAAAGGAAAGAGCCUUCACAGAGCAGAGACAGCACACUAGAUGAUGAGGCUAUUGCUAGGCAACUGCAGCUUGAAGAAGAUUCAGAGCUGGAGAGACAGCUGCAUGAAGAUGAAGAAUUUGCUAGAACUCUGGCCAUGUUGGAUGAAACACCACAGAAGAAAAAGGGUCGGAAAAACACAGAAGGAGAGCAAACAGUACUGAGCAUCAACAGCAGCCCUAAUACAACAGCAGGAUACAAGCAGACAGAAAGAGUGAAAGCAACAGACUUAGCUGGUGCAGCCAAGAAUUACUCUGCGAAGCCACAAACUAAAGCUGAACAGUUGGAGGGUUCUUGUUUACCCCCACAAUCAUCUGAUGGUAAAAAAGAAGAGAUGGCUGAAAAGGAAAGAGGUGCUCAAAAUUCAGUAUCAAGAGGAAAAGCAGCUUCAGGGAAAGAAGAGAAGAAAACACCAAAGAAGGAGAAAGUUUCUCCCAAGAAGACUGAGUCUAUAAGUCCUGAGGAUUCUGAAAAGAAGCGAAACAAUUACCAAGCUUACCGAAGCUUCCUUAAUCGCGAGGGUCCCAAAGCACUGGGCUCCAAAGAGAUACCUCAGGGAGCUGAGAACUGCUUGGAAGGGCUGACAUUUGUAAUUACGGGAGUUCUGGAGUGCAUUGAGAGAGAUGAGGCCAAGUCUCUGAUUGAGCGUUACGGAGGAAAGGUAACCGGCAAUGUCAGCAAGAAAACAAAUUACCUGGUGAUGGGCCGGGACUGCGGCCAGUCCAAGUGUGAGAAGGCAUCCACUUUAGGUACAAAAAUUAUUGAUGAAGAUGGUCUAUUUGAUCUUAUUCGAACUAUGCCAGGCAAAAAGUCAAAAUAUGAGCUGGCAGCUGAAACAGAGGCAAAGAAAGUGGAGUCAAAACCCAAAAAGACACCAGAGAAAGCUGAAGCUGGGAAAAGGAAUUUUAGCCCCUACAAAAGGGAAGCUAAUAAUAAAAAAUACAAGUCUACUCCUGAAAAAGGAGAAACCAUCAGAUCUGUCAAGAAAGAAACCACUGCUGUUCGAAAACUUACGGACUUCAAACGUCAGACUGUAGAGGAGAAAGAGGCCCCAAAACCUAAGGGAAACUUGGUUUCUGAGGUUAAUGAAGAUGGCACAGAGAAAUUGCUGUGGGUAGAUAAAUAUAAGCCUGUAUCUCUUAAGGCAAUUAUUGGACAGCAGGGUGAGCAAAGCUGUGCCAAUAAACUGCUCCGAUGGCUCAGAAACUGGCACAAGAACACCUUGGAAGAUGGACAAGGUGACUGCCAAAAACCUGGUAAAACUGGAAGCAAAGAUGAUGGGACAGGCUUUAAAGCAGCAUUACUUUCUGGUCCACCUGGAGUUGGUAAAACUACUACAGCUGCUUUGGUUUGUAAGGAGCUGGGCUAUAGCUACGUGGAGCUGAAUGCCAGCGACACUCGCAGCAAGAACAGUCUGAAAGAAGUCGUUGCUGAAUCACUUAACAACACCAGCAUCAAAGACUUCUGUUCUGGUGCAUCUUCAUCAGUUAGCGGGAAGCAUGUAUUGAUCAUGGAUGAAGUGGAUGGUAUGGCAGGCAAUGAAGACAGAGGAGGGAUUCAGGAGCUGAUUGCUUUGAUCCGGCACACGAAGGUUCCCAUCAUUUGCAUGUGCAACGAUCGCAACCACCCCAAGAUGCGCUCCUUGGUCCACUACUGCUUGGAUCUUCGUUUUCAGAGACCUCGGCUAGAACAGAUCAAAGGUGCCAUGAUGUCUAUUGCAUUUAAAGAAGGUUUAAAAAUUCCCCCACCUGCUAUGCAAGAGAUAAUCCUGGCAGCAAAUCAGGACAUCAGACAGGUCAUAUUUUUAUGUAUAAAGAUUAGGCUGUUAUUGCCAGCUAAAACAGAUGCCAGCAGAGCCAAAAAGGACAUCAAACUGGGCCCCUUUGAUGUGGUCCGGAAGGUUUUUGCUACUGGAGAGGAGGCUGCCCGUAUGUCUCUUAUAGACAAAUCAGAUCUUUUCUUCCAUGAUUAUUCACUAGCACCUCUUUUUGUCCAAGAGAACUAUGUGCAUGUGAAACCAGCUGCUGCUGGGGGUAAUUUAAAAAAGCACUUGGUGCUCUUGAGUAGAGCAGCUGAUAGUAUAUGUGAUGGUGAUAUAGUGGACAGACAGAUUCGUAGCAAGCAGAACUGGAAUCUUCUUCCAACACAGGCUAUUUAUGCAAGUGUUCUCCCAGGGGAGCUGAUGAGGGGUUACAUGUCCCAGUUUCCUGUCUUUCCCAGCUGGCUGGGGAAAUUUUCAUCCACAGGCAAACACGAUCGUAUCAUUCAAGAACUGGCAAUGCACAUGAGUCUCAGAACUCAGACAUGCAAGAGGACAGUAAAUAUGGAAUAUUUGUCAUAUUUGCGGGAUGCACUUGUCCAGCCCUUGAGAGACUUUGGAGCAGAUGGUGUACAACAAGCUAUAACAUUUAUGGACUCCUACUGCUUGAUGAAAGAAGAUGUUGAAAAUAUCAUGGAAAUAAGCACAUGGGGAGGCAAACCCAGUCCUUUUUCAAAGCUGGAUCCCAAGGUCAAAGCAGCUUUCACACGUGCCUACAACAAAGAGGCACAUCUGACUCCAUAUUCACUUAGUGCUGUCAAGGCAUCCAAAAGGCAGUCGGGAUCUGCUGCGACCUUAGAGCUGAGUGAAGACUUGACUGUGGAAGAGAUCCAGUCUGAUGAGGAUGAGCAGGAUACUGUUGACAGUGAUGCAAUGAUUAAGCAAAAAAAGGUGAAGUCUUCCAAGCUGCCAAAAAGAGAGAAAAAUGAAGAAACAACAAAAAAAGAAGGGAAGAGAAAAGAGAAAACAAGACAUUUAGAGUAAAGCCUUGCUUUGGACACAGCUUUGCAUGUCUAACUUCUGCCAGGAACAUGAAACAGAUGCAGUGCUGCUGCUGGGAAAGUAGAACCAGUGCAUUGAAAAUGCUCCUCUUAUAGAGGUGCUGUAGCUCUUGUGCUCUCACCCUGCUGUGCUUACUCCUGACAUGGUACAUGUUACAAGCUAUAACUUCCUCGUGCAACAGACACCAGGUGCGUGAACAUGCUGAAAAUGUCAUGCUUAGUUACCUGGCAUUUCUGCUGAGUCUUCCUGGGACUUCACUGCUUUUUUUCUUUUUUUUAAUAUAAAUCCCCUGACAUUAUGUGGUGAAGUCUUGUAAAUAGUACAUGAUGGAAAAACCCCCAUACAUAAAUGGCUUAUUUGUACAUUAUAGAAAUUAAGCAGUAUAUAAAAUUGCAAUAAAAUGUUUCACAGGAUUCUUUUAAAGCUUUGG